rnacentral:misc_RNA from 1 species
GCGAUUGCGAUGAUUGGAAUUGCCACCGAGGGAGAGGCGAUGGUUAGAGGCUGUGGAAGACCGGUGAGGCGGCGGAGGAGGAAACGAGGAGAGACGCUUGGUGCCUCCGGCACCGCCCCCACGGGCGCCGCCUCGGCCGCCGAGCUUGGAGGAGCCACCGUACAUUGGUUGGUCUCGUCAAAUAUUUGGGCCUCUGAGUGUACAAUCAAUAACAAAGUAUCUGCGGCGAGACAGAGAGCAUGAGAGAGGAAGUAAAGAGAGUGGAGUAGUUCUGGGUAUGGAGGUGGAUGAAGAGAUUCAAUUGGGAGAAGGGGGAGCUGGCGGAGGGAAUGAAUUUGGGAUAAAGUUGCGAUUUGCCAAAAAUCCCCUUUUCUCCCAAACAAUCUCUUAUUGAAAUUUGCUUAAAAAAAAUAAAAGGCCAAAGGCGCAUUUGAG